rnacentral:rRNA from 1 species
AUUGAACGCUGGCGGCAGGCCUAACACAUGCAAGUCGAGCGGCAGCGGGAAGUAGCUUGCUACUUUGCCGGCGAGCGGCGGACGGGUGAGUAAUGUCUGGGAAACUGCCCGAUGGAGGGGGAUAACUACUGGAAACGGUAGCUAAUACCGCAUAACGUCGCAAGACCAAAGAGGGGGACCUUCGGGCCUCUUGCCAUCGGAUGUGCCCAGAUGGGAUUAGCUAGUAGGUGGGGUAACGGCUCACCUUGGCGACGAUCCCUAGCUGGUCUGAGAGGAUGACCAGCCACACUGGAACUGAGAAACGGUCCAGACUCCUACGGGAGGCAGCAGUGGGGAAUAUUGCACAAUGGGCGCAAGCCUGAUGCAGCCAUGCCGCGUGUAUGAAGAAGGCCUUCGGGUUGUAAAGUACUUUCAGCGGGGAGGAAGGUGUUGAGGUUAAUAACCUCAGCAAUUGACGUUACCCGCAGAAGAAGCACCGGCUAACUCCGUGCCAGCAGCCGCCGUAA